AUCAGAUGUUUGGAGAAUAGAGACUGUAGAUUAUAAAUAAGAUGUUAGGAGAAUAGAGACUAAAGAUAUCCACCUGUAGAUUAUAAAUCAGAUGUUUGGAGAAUAGAGACUGUAGAUUAUAAAUAAGAUGUUAGGAGAAUAGAGACUAAAGAUAUCCACCUGUAGAUUAUAAAUCAGAUGUUAGGAGAAUAGAGACUGUAGAUUAUUAAUCAGGUGUUAGGAGAAUAGAGACUGUAGAUUAUAAAUAAGAUGUUAGGAGAAUAGAGACUGUAGAUUAUAAAUCAGAUGUUAGGAGAAUAGAGACUGUAGAUUAUAAAUCAGAUGUUAGGAGAAUAGAGACUAAAGAUAUCCACCUGUAGAUUAUAAUUCAGAUGUUAGGAGAAUAGAGCCUGUAGAUUAUAAUUCAGAUGUUAGGAGAAUAGAGACUGUAGAUUAUAAAUAAGAUGUUAGGAGAAUAGAGACUAAAGAUAUCCACCUGUAGAUUAUAAAUAAGAUGUUAGGAGAAUAGAGACUAAAGAUAUCCACCUGUAGAUUAUAAAUCAGAUGUUAGGAGAAUAGAGACUGUAGAUUAUAAAUCAGAUGUUAGGAGAAUAGAGACUAAAGAUAUCCACCUGUAGAUUAUUAAUCAGAUGUUAGGAGAAUAGAGACUAAAGAUAUCCACCUGUAGAUUAUAAAUCAGAUGUUAGGAGAAUAGAGACUGUAGAUUAUAAAUCAGAUGUUAGGAGAAUAGAGACUAAAGAUAUCCACCUGUAGAUUAUAAAUCAGAUGUUAGGAGAAUAGAGACUAAAGAUAUCCACCUGUAGAUUAUAAUUCAGAUGUUAGGAGAAUAGAGACUAAAGAUAUCCACCUGUAGAUUAUAAAUCAGAUGUACAGUAUUUGUCUUUUUAUGUUUCAGGUUUGAUGAUAGGAGAACAGUGACUUGUACUUCACAGCUGGACCUCUGAGGUGCUGUUCAGGCCACGACAUUGUAAACCAGGGCUGGGGGGGCAAUUCUAUUUCAAAUCAGGAGGUAAAGCCGAAAUGCACAUUCCAAUGUUCCACAUUAAAAAGUUGAAAAAAAAGGAGAAUUGGAAUUUCAGUUGUACUUCCUGAAUCGACUGAUUUGAAAUGGAAUUGAGCCCAACCCUGCUAUAGACACACAGCAUGAAGUUUGUGCUAUCAUGCCAACUCCCUGUCACACUGAUGACCCUAGCCUGAGUGCCAGUCUGUUUGUGCUAUCAUGCCAACUCCCUGUCACACUGAUGACCCUAGCCUGAGUGCCAGUCUGUUUGUGCUAUCAUGCCAACUCCCUGUCACACUGAAAACAGAUCUGGGGUCAGGCUAUAGAAGGAGACAACAGAUCUGGGGUCAGUCUAUAGAAGGAGAAAAUAGAUCUGGGGUCAGGCUAUAGAAGGAGAAAAUAGAUCUGAGGUCAGGCUAUAGAAGGAGACAACAGAUCUGGGGUCAGUCUAUAGAAGGAGACAACAGAUCUGGGGUCAGGCUAUAGAAGGAGACAACAGAUCUGGGGUCAGGCUAUAGAAGGAGAAACCGAUCUGGGGUCAGGCUAUAGAAGGAGACAACAGAUCUGGGGUCAGGCUAUAGAAGGAGACAACAGAUCUGGGGUCAGGCUAUAGAAGGAGACAACA
ensembl:lncRNA